AUUGAACGCUGGCGGCAUGCCUUACACAUGCAAGUCGAACGGUAACAGGUCUUCGGACGCUGACGAGUGGCGAUCGGGUGAGAAAUACAUCGGAACGUGCCCAGUCGUGGGGGAUAACUACUCGAAAGAGUAGCAAAUACCGCAUACGAUCUGAGGAUGACAGCGUGGGACCUUCGGGCCUCGCGCGAUUGGAGCGGCGGAUGGCAGGUUAGGUAGGUGGUGGGAUAAAAGCUUACCAAGCCGACGAUCGGUAGCCGGUCUGAGAGGACGACCAGCCACACUGGGACUGAGACACGGCCCAGACUCCUACGGGAGGCAGCAGUGGGGAAUGUUGGACAAUGGGCGAAAGCCUGAUCCAGCAAUGCCGCGUGCAGGAUGAAGGCCUUCGGGUUGUAAACUGCUUUUGUACGGAACGAAAAAGCUUCUCCUAAUACGAGAGGCCCAUGACGGUACCGUAAGAAUAAGCACCGGCUAACUACGUGCCAGCCGCCGCGGUAA
rnacentral:rRNA from 1 species